AUCACACCAGGCGAUGGAGCUCGCCUUUAAGCGCCUCUUUCGGGCUAAUAGCUCCUACCAGAAU
rfam:Desulfotomaculum kuznetsovii DSM 6115, complete genome.